ACCGAAGCUGCGGCAGCGACACUGUGUGUUGUUGGGUAGGGGAGCGUUCUGUAAGCCUGCGAAGGUGUCCCGUGAGGGAUGCUGGAGGUAUCAGAAGUGCGAAUGCUGACAUAAGUAACGAUAAAGCGGGUGAAAAGCCCGCUCGCCGGAAGACCAAGGGUUCCUGUCCAACGUUAAUCGGGGCAGGGUGAGUCGACCCCUAAGGCGAGGCCGAAAGGCGUAGUCGAUGGGAAACAGGUUAAUAUUCCCGUACUUG
rnacentral:rRNA from 1 species